UUUUUUUCUCCUUCACACGUAUAUUAUGAAAAUAAAGAAAAUAUAGGGUGUGGUAGGGUAGGAAUUCCUCUUGAUUUAAUGUAAUUACGAAUAAUUCCCAUAAAAAUAAUUACUUAGUGUCCCUGCAAGGCAGGAUCUCUUCUUUCCCCUAACUAGUGUUCAGUAGUGAGACUCAAAAAACGAAGGUAUUGAGUUAUACACCCAAUUUUUGUAAAAUGACUCCAGUCAACCAGAAAGUUGGAGGGAGGUCAUUCCAGGCCAAUUUGAUUGAGUUGAUCAAUUGGCUAAGUUUUAUGAUUAAUGUAUUUGUCUGUUUUAAAUUUUAUGUAAACAUAUCGCUUUGGUUCUUGGGGGCUGUUCGCAUGGAAGCAAAAUGGUUAGAAUGAUAACAGUGAACACUCAGGGCCUUAACUCGACAGCAAAAAGAUCAUUGGUCUAUAUUUUUUUAGAUAGGGAAAAAAUAGAUGUAGGCUACUUUCAAGAGACUCAUUGGAGGGCUUAAUAUAAAUAAGUUGGAAGGAGUUAGAUUUCCAACUCUAAUUUAUGCGACUAUUAAAGAUUUUUUAAAAAUGGAG